UACGGGGGGGGCAAGCGUUGUUCGGAAUUACUGGGCGUAAAGGGCUUGUAGGUGGCCAACUAAGUCAGACGUGAAAUCCCUCGGCUUAACCGGGGAACUGCGUCUGAUACUGGAUGGCUGGAGUGUGGGAGAGGGAUGCGGAAUUCCAGGUGUAGCGGUGAAAUGCGUAGAUAUCGAGAGGAACACCUGCGGCGAAGGCGGGUAGCUGGGCCGACACUGACGCUGAGGCGCGAAAGCCAGGGGAGCGAACGGG
rnacentral:rRNA from 1 species